rnacentral:lncRNA from 1 species
GCCGCAGUGGUGAGAGCGCUGAAGAAUCUUAACCGAUAGACCACUAUAACGUGAGAUACUGCCUUUGUAUAAAAGAGUCUGAAGUUACUAACAAUUUCCAGCCUUCUCCAAGGACUGCUGGUGUCCCAAACUGCCUUCUCAUGACUUCUUUGAGGAAACGCAAACUGUAAAAGGUGAAGUGAUUGGUGUAAAGUCAAGCAUACACCACGGAGAAGACGGAACUCCAGGCAGGACAGUCAAUAGUCAGUAAGAACAGAAACAUCAGCUGGGCUCCUGUGUCUUCUGGCUUAUGGAUGGGUUCGGUCAAUGGGAGGCACUGGCAGGUGGCUGGAGGGCAAGCGGAAGGAAGAAGCUGGAGUAUUUCUCUGCCCUACCUUCUCGGCUUUGAGUACAGGCAGUCUCACCAUUCCUGGCAUCCAUAAGGAUCAGCGAGAGCCGGUGAUGAUGACAGUGGGCUACCACCACCGCUACAACCCAACAACUUCAAUUCUACUCACAAGCUCUAUCAAGGAAUGGUCUCUACUGCUCUCCUAAGUUCAGAACCAGUCCUAGUGGUAACCCUGGCAGGCAUAUGAGAAGAGGAAGCAACUACCUGAAUCAGCUGACCGACUUAUUUACACCAACCAGCAACUGGGUCAGUGGGAGCAACAACAGAUGAUUCUCCCCUCGCUGCACAAUGGAAUCACCUAGAAAGCUUUAAAAACUACUGACACCUGAGUUCCACUCCCAGGGACUUUCAUUUUAAUUGGUCUGGGAUACAACCUGGACAUUGGGACUUUCUUAACUUUCUUGGGUUAUGCUAAUAUGAAGCCUAGAUUAAGAACCAUUGCUUUUGUACCUUUAUGCACCUCACAACAAACAGACUGCACUCAAGUUAGCAAGUGGGCUUUUAUGGCUAUUUAGAAUGGCCAGAGAAUACCUUCCUUUUAUCAGAGGAUGAGUAAAAACUACUGCACAUGUCAAUACUUUUACAAGCAAUGUACUCUUAGCGGUCAACAGUUUAUAUAAAAAUGUCCAGAUAUCAGUGCCCGAUGCUGUGGUUUUUGACUUUUCAGACAGAAAUGAACUGCCUACAUUCUAGUUCAUGGUAACAGUCAGACUCUAGUCAGGGAAAUGGACCCAUGAUAUAGCAAAAGGAAUUUAAUGUGGACAUUAGUUUAAAAGUGUUGGAAGAGCUGAAAGGCAAAACAAGUUUGGCAGGCAACCCAGAGAUGGGACAAAAAGAGGCUCCAUACUACCCAUAGAACUGGAGGGAAAAAGGUGGAGCGGCCGCGCAGUGCUGGAGGUGUCAAUGUCAAGGAUGUCACGUUCCCAGUCUGCUGGUUGGCAAGUGUCUGAGCGGACGAGACGUGCUCUGGCACAGCAGCACUUCCACGUCCUAGUCCAGGGACUAACGGGCUAACAGAGACGAGGCCCGGACCUGCAGACUGGCCUUGGUGUCCUCUUUUUGCAUACACUAAAUAAUUAAGUCAAUGUUCUUUGAAGUCAAG